rnacentral:rRNA from 1 species
CCUACGGGUGGCAGCAGUGAGGAAUAUUGGUCAAUGGGCGAGAGUCUGAACCAGCCAAGUAGCGUGAAGGAUGACUGCCCUAUGGGUUGUAAACUUCUUUUAUAUGGGAAUAAAAUGUUCCACGUGUGGGAUUUUGUAUGUACCAUAUGAAUAAGGAUCGGCUAACUCCGUGCCAGCAGCCGCGGUAAUACGGAGGAUCCGAGCGUUAUCCGGAUUUAUUGGGUUUAAAGGGAGCGUAGGUGGGUUGUUAAGUCAGUUGUGAAAGUUUGCGGCUCAACCGUAAAAUUGCAGUUGAGACUGGCAGUCUUGAGUACAGUAGAGGUGGGCGGAAUUCGUGGUGUAGCGGUGAAAUGCUUAGAUAUCACGAAGAACUCCGAUUGCGAAGGCAGUUCACUGGACUGCCACUGACACUGAGGCUCGAAAGUGUGGGUAUCAAACAGGAUUAGAUACCCUUGUAGUC